rnacentral:rRNA from 1 species
UGAACCUUCGGGGAACGAUAACGGCGCUCGAGCGGCGGACGGGUGAGUAAUGCCUAGGAAAUUGCCUUGAUGUGGGGGAUAACCAUUGGAAACGAUGGCUAAUACCGCAUGAUGCCUACGGGCCAAAGAGGGGGACCUUCGGGCCUCUCGCGUCAAGAUAUGCCUAGGUGGGAUUAGCUAGUUGGUGAGGUAAUGGCUCACCAAGGCGACGAUCCCUAGCUGGUCUGAGAGGAUGAUCAGCCACACUGGAACUGAGACACGGUCCAGACUCCUACGGGAGGCAGCAGUGGGGAAUAUUGCACAAUGGGCGCAAGCCUGAUGCAGCCAUGCCGCGUGUAUGAAGAAGGCCUUCGGGUUGUA